GGAAGCGUCGCAUAGCUGGUCUAGUGCACCGUCUUGGAAAGGCGGCAGCCCCGCAAGGGGCUCGUGAGUUCGAAUCUCACCGCUUCCGCCA
rnacentral:tRNA from 1 species